AACGAACGCUGGCGGCAUGGAUUAGGCAUGCAAGUCGAACGAAGUAGCAAUACUUAGUGGCGAAAGGGUGAGGAACGCGUGAGUAAUCUGCCCUCAAGUUGGGAAUAACAGUUGGAAACGACUGCUAAUACCGAAUGUGGCUAUUUAAACGCAUGUUUUUAUGGCUAAAGAUUUAUUGCUUGAGGAUGAGCUCGCGUCCCAUUAGUUAGUUGGUGAGGUAAUGGCUCACCAAGGCGAUGAUGGGUAGCUGGUCUGAGAGGAUGGUCAGCCACACUGGGACUGAGACACUGCCCAGACUCCUACGGGAGGCUGCAGUCGAGAAUCUUGGGCAAUGCGCGAAAGCGUGACCCAGCAAUGCCGCGUGAAGGAAGACGGUUUUUCGGGAUUUGUAAACUUCUUUUAAGAGGGACGAUAAUGACGGUACCUCUUGAAUAAGCCACGGCUAACUACGUG
rnacentral:rRNA from 1 species